UCCUACGGGGCGCAGCAGUGGGGAAUAUUGCACAAUGGGCGAAAGCCUGAUGCAGCAACGCCGCGUGAGCGAUGAAGGCCUUUGGGUCGUAAAGCUCUGUCCUUGGGGAAGAAAAAAAUGACGGUACCCAAGGAGGAAGCCCCGGCUAACUACGUGCCAGCAGCCGCGGUAAUACGUAGGGGGCAAGCGUUAUCCGGAAUUAUUGGGCGUAAAGAGUACGUAGGUGGUCUUUUAAGCGCAGGGUUUAAGGCAAUGGCUUAACCAUUGUUCGCCCUGUGAACUGGAAGACUUGAGUGUAGGAGAGGAAAGUGGAAUUCCUAGUGUAGCGGUGAAAUGCGUAGAUAUUAGGAGGAACAUCAGUGGCGAAGGCGACUUUCUGGACUAUUACUGACACUGAGGUACGAAAGCGUGGGGAGCAAACAGGAUUAGAUACCCGGGUAGUCCC
rnacentral:rRNA from 1 species